rnacentral:rRNA from 1 species
AGCGAACGCUGGCGGCAGGCCUAACACAUGCAAGUCGAACGAACCUUUCGGGGUUAGUGGCGGACGGGUGAGUAACACGUGGGAACGUGCCUUUAGGUUCGGAAUAACUCAGGGAAACUUGUGCUAAUACCGAAUGUGCCCUUCGGGGGAAAGAUUUAUCGCCUUUAGAGCGGCCCGCGUCUGAUUAGCUAGUUGGUUGAGGUAAUGGCUCACCAAGGCGACGAUCAGUAGCUGGUCUGAGAGGAUGAUCAGCCACAUUGGGACUGAGACACGGCCCAAACUCCUACGGGAGGCAGCAGUGGGGAAUCUUGCGCAAUGGGCGAAAGCCUGACGCAGCCAGGCCGCGUGAAUGAUGAAGGUCUUAGGAUUGUAAAAUUCUUUCACCGGGGACGAUAAGGACGGUACCCGGAGAAGAAGCCCCGGCUAACUUCGU